UACGCUAGUAGACAGUCUGUAGGCAGAAUGAGGGGGAAAAAAAACCCCAUAGCGAAAAUAAAGGAUGUUACGCCAGUUUUAUGUGAUAUCUGGGAGUCGACCGCUUUCCAGCGUGACAUACGAAUCGAUCGACGAGAGAAAUCAAGAAUUCUACCAGUGAACCUAACAUCUGGAGUGGAGACAUACUGUUUCAACAGUAUGGCAUUGUGGAUUUCUUCUUACGUCUGAAUGGCGUCCGACUGCUGAAGGCAGUCAAGCUAGUUCACCUCAGCAGUACAGAGUGUGAGCUGGCCCAGCUCUGUGGGAGGGUGGAGUCAGUCCAGCGCGGCGUAUCUCAGACAGCAUGGAGGGCCUCUGCAGACCGAAUGGAAUUUAUACCAUAUGUACCAGGCAUCCCAAGAAUGCACGGCACAGAGACUUGACCAACGGAAAGAACUGCAGAAAGUGCAAUGGAAAGGGGCAAGCACGCUUGCACCAAUACAAAGUCUGGGAGCUGAGAGGAGGAACAGGAUAUAUGCGUGACGUCUCUGUCCCGGACGAGCCCUUGGUAAGUCUUCCUGUUUACCUUGUUGACUUCACAAACAAAUGAACGUCAUUGGAAAGCCCUUUGGGUACAGG
rnacentral:lncRNA from 1 species